rnacentral:tRNA from 1 species
AUUAAAUUAAGUUAUUGUAAGACUGUGUGUUUUCAAAACACUUAGAGGUUUCGUACCAUUUAAUG